CGUAAAUUCCCUCAGGCUAAAUACUCCGAUUUCAGAGCACUCUCGUCUGAGUGUGCCAGAGAAUUAUGAAUUUACGAACGCUCAACACCCGUAUAUGGCCAGUGUCAGUAAACGUCGGCAAAAAUGCGUAAUUAAAUUGUUGCCAGCAGCACAGUUGCAGUCACCAACGCUCUGGAUAACAUGAAAACAGCCUAACCAUCUCUGCUAGGGUGAGAAAUGGUCAGUGAUGUGAACUCUCAUUUUUGUCUGGAAGUAGCUAGCUAACUUUAGCCAGUUAGCUUGGGUGCUUGACAGCCGUUGUGAGGUCAGAACACUCGGAUCGCCCCCACUCCUCGACCAGAGCGUCCAGUGUGCGCUCUAAACGCUCCGAGAGCGAAACUCUGAUUUUACGAACGGACAAUCUGACAAAGCUCUGGGCACACUGACUGGGUGCUCUCUGGCACUCCAGAGUGUAUUUACGAACGCUCGCCGGAUAGAACAAGGUCUCGCUUGUUUUUGUUGGACCUAUGUUGCCAUGACAACAGCGCAAGUUCUAUCCCUAUUUUGAAAUCGUUUUCCAGUGGCACAUUUGCUUCCUAUUUACAAACUUUCUCAGAAAAUACUAGUCGCCGAGGUGUAUCAUGACUGAUCCAGUGGCAACGACGACCGAAGGGCCACCAACGGAUGGAAAAUCAGUCAAUCUUAUUGGGAAUCUGUUGAGAAGAGUAUCAAGAGCCGAGCCUGUUCCUGAUGACGAUGAGGAAGAGGAGGAGGAGCAGCUUCCCCCACCACCACCACUAAUUCCACGAGGCCCUCUAGUGAAUUUGCAUUCUCCUAUUGUCAAUUCACAUUAUUAUGCUUAGUUAACUGGAAUAUAGAUUUUACACCUGACAUGCAUAUUAUUAUUACAUUAAAGGACUGUAGUGUUUAAAAUAGUAUAUUUUGUUUACAGAAAGGAUGUCUAACAGUCCAUCUGAAAAACUGCAGGGAUUUCAAUAAAAACGGUAUCCUUCUCAGUGACCCCUAACAGUGAAAUCAUUAGACCCUAUUCACCAUGCCAGAACUUUGUGUGUGUGUGUCAGUGUGCUAACUGAGGUAGUUAUAAGUUAUGCCAUCGUAAGUGGCCCUGGAUAAGUGUCUGCUAAAUGACUAGUAAAAUGAGUGUUUUCGUGAGCGUUGUGUUCCCAGCUUCCAUAAAGAAAGGCACCCAGGGCUUCCUGAGGGCGAGUAUUGGGGAGAAGGUGAAGUGUACUAUGGUCCAGCCUUACAAGGACUCCAAGGCUGAGCGCUCCAAGUUCCCCCUCUGCUUCAACGAGUGGAAGUAUUUCUCCAUACAGGUAAGUAGGUAUAUUAGUUGAUGCUCUAGCCAACUUCUCUCUGUCUGGAUUCAUGUAUUGGUCAUGACAAAAGAGUUGGCUACACUGCAGGUACAGUAUGGGGCCAGCUAUUGCAAUACUGUAUCGAGAAAGUUGUAAGAAUAUUAUUUUCUGUAUCUAACAGGACAGGUUUUUCCUCUAUCCAAGACUUUAACACAAUCAAUCAAUGACUCAUUUGGAUGUUUCAGAUUCCUAGGAGCACUGAUAACACGCUGGGUGUCUGUGAGUCACACCGUCUGGUGGUGGAGCUCAUCUUCUUUGAGCAGGACACGGGCGUUCCCAAGCUCAUAGGAAAGACCUUUGUCAAACUGCUGGACAUCGUCAGUGU
rnacentral:lncRNA from 13 species